AAGGUUAAGCCUCACGGUUCAUUAGUACCGGUUAGCUCAACGCAUCGCUGCGCUUACACACCCGGCCUAUCAACGUCGUCGUCUUCAACGUUCCUUCAGGACUCUCAAGGAGUCAGGGAGAACUCAUCUCGGGGCAAGUUUCGUGCUUAGAUGCUUUCAGCACUUAUCUCUUCCGCAUUUAGCUACCGGGCAGUGCCAUUGGCAUGACAACCCGAACACCAGUGAUGCGUCCACUCCGGUCCUCUCGUACUAGGAGCAGCCCCCCUCAGUUCUCCAGCGCCCACGGCAGAUAGGGACCGAACUGUCUCACGACGUUCUAAACCCAGCUCGCGUACCACUUUAAAUGGCGAACAGCCAUACCCUUGGGACCUACUUCAGCCCCAGGAUGUGAUGAGCCGACAUCGAGGUGCCAAACACCGCCGUCGAUAUGAACUCUUGGGCGGUAUCAGCCUGUUAUCCCCGGAGUACCUUUUAUCCGUUGAGCGAUGGCCCUUCCAUUCAGAACCACCGGAUCACUAUGACCUGCUUUCGCACCUGCUCGCGCCGUCACGCUCGCAGUCAAGCUGGCUUAUGCCAUUGCACUAACCUCCUGAUGUCCGACCAGGAUUAGCCAACCUUCGUGCUCCUCCGUUACUCUUUAGGAGGAGACCGCCCCAGUCAAACUACCCACCAGACACUGUCCGCAACCCGGAUUACGGGUCAACGUUAGAACAUCAAACAUUAAAGGGUGGUAUUUCAAGGUCGGCUCCAUGCAGACUGGCGUCCACACUUCCAAGCCUCCCACCUAUCCUACACAUCAAGGCUCAAUGUUCAGUGUCAAGCUAUAGUAAAGGUUCACGGGGUCUUUCCGUCUUGCCGCGGGUACACUGCAUCUUCACAGCGAGUUCAAUUUCACUGAGUCUCGGGUGGAGACAGCCUGGCCAUCAUUACGCCAUUCGUGCAGGUCGGAACUUACCCGACAAGGAAUUUCGCUACCUUAGGACCGUUAUAGUUACGGCCGCCGUUUACCGGGGCUUCGAUCAAGAGCUUCGCUUGCGCUGACCCCAUCAAUUAACCUUCCGGCACCGGGCAGGCGUCACACCGUAUACGUCCACUUUCGUGUUUGCACAGUGCUGUGUUUUUAAUAAACAGUUGCAGCCAGCUGGUAUCUUCGACUGAUUUCAGCUCCAUCCGCGAGGGACUUCACCUACAUAUCAGCGUGCCUUCUCCCGAAGUUACGGCACCAUUUUGCCUAGUUCCUUCACCCGAGUUCUCUCAAGCGCCUUGGUAUUCUCUACCUGACCACCUGUGUCGGUUUGGGGUACGAUUUGAUGUUACCUGAUGCUUAGAGGCUUUUCCUGGAAGCAGGGCAUUUGUUGCUUCAGCACCGUAGUGCCUCGUCAUCACGCCUCAGCCUUGAUUUUCCGGAUUUGCCUGGAAAACCAGCCUACACGCUUAAACCGGGACAACCGUCGCCCGGCCAACAUAGCCUUCUCCGUCCCCCCUUCGCAGUAACACCAAGUACAGGAAUAUUAACCUGUUUCCCAUCGACUACGCCUUUCGGCCUCGCCUUAGGGGUCGACUCACCCUGCCCCGAUUAACGUUGGACAGGAACCCUUGGUCUUCCGGCGAGCGGGCUUUUCACCCGCUUUAUCGUUACUUAUGUCAGCAUUCGCACUUCUGAUACCUCCAGCAUGCCUCACAGCACACCUUCACAGGCUUACAGAACGCUCCCCUACCCAACAACGCAUAAGCGUCGCUGCCGCAGCUUCGGUGCAUGGUUUAGCCCCGUUACAUCUUCCGCGCAGGCCGACUCGACCAGUGAGCUAUUACGCUUUCUUUAAAUGAUGGCUGCUUCUAAGCCAACAUCCUGGCUGUCUGGGCCUUCCCACAUCGUUUCCCACUUAACCAUGACUUUGGGACCUUAGCUGGCGGUCUGGGUUGUUUCCCUCUUCACGACGGACGUUAGCACCCGCCGUGUGUCUCCCGUGAUAACAUUCUCCGGUAUUCGCAGUUUGCAUCGGGUUGGUAAGUCGGGAUGACCCCCUUGCCGAAACAGUGCUCUACCCCCGGAGAUGAAUUCACGAGGCGCUACCUAAAUAGCUUUCGGGGAGAACCAGCUAUCUCCCGGUUUGAUUGGCCUUUCACCCCCAGCCACAAGUCAUCCGCUAAUUUUUCAACAUUAGUCGGUUCGGUCCUCCAGUUAGUGUUACCCAACCUUCAACCUGCCCAUGGCUAGAUCACCGGGUUUCGGGUCUAUACCCUGCAACUUAACGCCCAGUUAAGACUCGGUUUCCCUUCGGCUCCCCUAUUCGGUUAACCUUGCUACAGAAUAUAAGUCGCUGACCCAUUAUACAAAAGGUACGCAGUCACACGCCUAAGCGUGCUCCCACUGCUUGUACGUACACGGUUUCAGGUUCUUUUUCACUCCCCUCGCCGGGGUUCUUUUCGCCUUUCCCUCACGGUACUGGUUCACUAUCGGUCAGUCAGGAGUAUUUAGCCUUGGAGGAUGGUCCCCCCAUAUUCAGACAGGAUACCACGUGUCCCGCCCUACUCAUCGAGCUCACAGCAUGUGCAUUUUUGUGUACGGGGCUGUCACCCUGUAUCGCGCGCCUUUCCAGACGCUUCCACUAACACACACACUGAUUCAGGCUCUGGGCUGCUCCCCGUUCGCUCGCCGCUACUGGGGGAAUCUCGGUUGAUUUCUUUUCCUCGGGGUACUUAGAUGUUUCAGUUCCCCCGGUUCGCCUCAUUAACCUAUGGAUUCAGUUAAUGAUAGUGUGUCGAAACACACUGGGUUUCCCCAUUCGGAAAUCGCCGGUUAUAACGGUUCAUAUCACCUUACCGACGCUUAUCGCAGAUUAGCACGUCCUUCAUCGCCUCUGACUGCCAGGGCAUCCACCGUGUACGCUUAGUCGCUUAA
rnacentral:rRNA from 1 species